UCUAGAGUUGCAGCCUUGUGACUCAUCAUCUGUGUUGGGGUGGCUUUACCUGUGAUGCGGCUGCUUUUGAGUCACCCUUGCUUGUUCUUCCAUAGAUAUGCAUUUCUCAGGAGUAGAACACAAGGAAGUCAUAUCAUGCAUUCUAGGUUUGCAUGCAGCAAGGAGAGCUCAUCAUUGAAAACAUGAUCUACACAUGAAGUACAGUGAGAAUGCAUGUCAGUGUCUUAUUCCUUACUGUUAGAGGUUGGACAUGCUGCUUGGUUGAUGGGGAAAGCCUACCCAAGGCUCACCAAAAUGCCUCCAUCCACUCAUUUGUCUACCCAGAAGAUUGAUGACAGAAAGAGGAACCUGUUGUGCACCAGGACAAUGAGGACACACUGUGGAGAAGAAAGACUGCUUUGUGACAGUUGAAAACAUCCCUAGGUCUGAAAGUGGCAUAUCAGGGAAGUUGAGAGCACCUAUUACUCGCUGAGGGAAGGUCUGAAAAUUAUGAAAUGAGAAACUAACACACCCAGAGCAGCUAAACUGUGCCACAGAAGCCAAGCAAGCCAGCAGUCCAGCUGGGCAGAUGGUGAGAAGAAAGCUACCUUGGAACUCAUCUCUCCAAUCCAGCAGCUGGAGGAUGCAGGAGCUCAAGUCCUGGGAACCAAGAGACUUGGCUGCAAGCCCAGUUCUGUCACUUCCUGUGUAUAGCCCCUCACAGGAUGCUGUGGCUUGAGUGGACUAUCAACAACUCUUACGUCCCUUCCCUACAGAAAAAAACAAACCAAACACACACAUGCAAUAAAAUGCCUCAUUAUGGGGAGUCUAAGUGAAA